rnacentral:tRNA from 1 species
GCCCGGCUGGCUCGGUUGGUGGAGCGUGUGACUCCUGAUCUCAGGUCCUGAGUUCAAGCCCCACGUUGGGUG